rnacentral:rRNA from 1 species
UACGUAGGUGGCGAGCGUUGUCCGGAAUUACUGGGUGUAAAGCGCGUGUAGGCGGGAGGCCAAGUCUGCGGUGAAAUCGCUCGGCUCAACUGGGCGGGGUCCGUGGAAACUGGUCACCUGGAGGACGGUAGAGGCGAGUGGAAUUCCCGGUGUAGUGGUGAAAUGCGUAGAUAUCGAGAGGAACACCAGUGGCGAAGGCGAGUCCCUGGACAACACCUGACACUGAGGCACGAAAGCUAGGGGAGCAAACAGG